rnacentral:tRNA from 12 species
AAACAUUGGGGACCUGGGUUCGAUUCCCACCA